rnacentral:rRNA from 1 species
UACGGGGGGAGCAAGCGUUGUUCGGAUUUACUGGGCGUAAAGGGCGCGUAGGCGGCCACCGCAAGUCGACUGUGAAAUCUCCGGGCUUAACCCGGAAAGGUCAGCCGAUACUGCGGGGCUAGAGUGCAGAAGGGGCAACUGGAAUUCUCGGUGGUAGCGGUGAAAUGCGCAGGAUAUCAGGAGGAACACCGGUGGCGAAGGCGGGUCUCUGGGGCCGAUGACUGACGCUGAGGAGCGAAAGCAUGGGUAGCGA